UACGGGGGGUGCGAGCGUUGUUCGGAAUCACUGGGCGUAAAGGGCGCGUAGGUGGCCUGGUAAGUAGGGGGUGAAAUCUCGCGGCUCAACUGCGAGGCUGCCUCCUAAACUGUCAGGCUCGAGCAGAGUAGAGGCAGGUGGAAUUCCCGGUGUAGCGGUGGAAUGCGUAGAGAUCGGGAAGAACAUCGGUGGCGAAGGCGGCCUGCUGGGCUCUUGCUGACACUGAGGCGCGACAGCGUGGGGAGCAAACAGG
rnacentral:rRNA from 1 species